AAAUACUGCUUCCGGUUGAAUGUAAACAUUUCCAAAAUUGGCAAUUAAUUUGUUCAUCAAUUCGAAAGGCGGCUUGCAAUUUGAAAUUCUUACUGUUUAAUAGUGGUACUACUGCCUACAUAUAGAAUGACGCGUACAUAGAGAGGUCCUCCAAAAAGUUUAAAAUAAGAAAACGAAAGACAGAAAGCAAUACACGGAACGUGACAUGGAAAGGGACAGUGCGAUUAUAAAGGACUUAGAUUCCACAACCUAAACUAGCGUAAACACUAUGUCUUCUAAGGUAAGUGUGGUGACCAUAAAUUCAGACCAAAAACAAGGUGACUUAAACUCUGUUUGCGUCAAAAUCGAGACUGAUGAAUGGUAUAAUACGGCUGCUGAUUUGUAUUCUGUGUGUGCCAAAUCAGAACAAGUUUUAUGGGAAGAGAGACAAUCAGAUUGCAACAAACAAGAUUGCCUCAAUUUAGUAAAUGAACAAACAGGAUGUUUACAGACGGAUCAAAUUAACACCAAACAAGAUUGCUUCACCUCCGAAUGUGUUAAAUCAGAACAGACACAAUAUGAAAUUAUGCAACAAGAUGUCACCAAUUCUGUAUGUGUGAACAGAAACACGAUUGCCAAUUCAAACGCAUAUACAGCACAAGAUGAGCUCCAUUUUGUAUGUGGGACAACAACACAGUUUCUAAAUCCAAAUACAGACCGGUGUUAUAUAACAACAAAUGACCUCAAUUCUGUAGGUGGUAUAGCUAAACAGUAUAUAAAUACAGAUAAGGACAAUAAAAAUAGAACAGAAAAUGAUCCAAAUGUUUUAUGUGAUCAUUCAAACGCAAUCGAGGAUCAAGCUCAACUGGCCUACCUAAAUUCUGUAUUUCUUACAAGUGAAGAGAAUGAGCUUUCAAAUGUUGACCAAAAUUGUGCUAGACCAACUGGGGGCGGAGAGACAAUACAAAAGGAACUUUGCUCAAACCUUGAUGUUCAUAGACAUUCGUACUCCGAAAAAGAUGACUCAGAUGAUUACUUUGCAGAGAUAUUCUUUGAAAGAGAAAAAAGAAAAAGUGAGAGCAGUCAUUCAACUCUUGUGAGACCAAAGAGAUUUUUAUGUGAAGAUUCAUCCAGUGGCGUGGUCAAGCCAAUGAGUCCUUCAGCAAGAGAUAGUUCAGAGAAUGCUGUGACAAGGACUGUCCCCCUUUCUCUUAAACCAGCUGAGAUGAAAUUGAACAAAAAGGGUUACAGAGUGAAGAAAGUUAAGAGAAUGAAAAAAGCCAAGACCCCAGAAAAAGAAAAGACUGAGUACAGUCUUCAAGAGAGAAACCAAACCAACUGUAUGAACCUGGAACCUCGAGAUAAUGACCAUUUUCUCUUCUGUGGAGAAUGCAACAUGGAGUUUGAAGGGGACUGCCCUGUCCAUGGACCCUAUAACUACAUACAGGACAAAGAGGUGCCAGAAGGGGACCCACUUAAAGCUGACCAUUCCGUGCCUGAUUGCCUUGAAAUCAAAAUGUCCAAAAUAGCUGGAGCUGGUCUUGGAGUAUUUUCCAAGAUGGAACUGGAAUCCAGGGUCAUGUUUGGACCAUAUGGGGGCGAUGUCAUUGCUGAAAAUCAGAAAUCAGGAUAUUGCUGGCAGAUAUAUAAGGAAGGCAGAGCGAGCCACUUUGUAGAUGCCCAGAACAAGGCCACCUCUAACUGGAUGAGAUACGUGAACUGUGCAAUGACAGACGAAGAUCAGAACCUUGUAGCAUUCCAGUACAAAGGAGGCAUCUAUUACUGCACAUUGAAGCCAGUUUCGCCAGGAGCGGAACUGUUGGUCUGGUACGGAGAUGAAUUCGCCAGAGAACUUGGCCUCAUCAGAGACAAAAACAUUUGCAUUUAUUCCAGUAAAAACAGUGUUCACCUGAAGUCACACAUGAGGAUACAUACUGGAGAGAGAGAAUACACGUGUGAGGUGUGUGGCUAUGUAUGUAAACAGAGUGGUUCCUUGAAGGCACACAUGAGGAUACAUACAGAAGAAAGACCGUUUAAGUGUGAGGUGUGUGGCUAUUUAUGUAAACAGAGUAGUCACUUGAAGACACACAUGAGGAUACAUACAGGAGAGAGAAAGUACAAGUGUGAGGUGUGUGGUUAUGCAUGUAACAGGAGUGAAACCUUGAAGGUACACAUGAGGAUACAUACAGGCGAGAGACCGUACACAUGUGGGGUCUGUGGUUAUGCAUUUAACAUGAGUGGUAACUUGAAGAGACACAUGAUGAUACAUACAGGCGAGAUGAGGAUACAUACAGGAGAGAGAAAGUACAAGCGUGAGGUGUGUGGUUAUGCAUGUAACAGGAGUGAAACCUUUAAGGCACACAUGAGGAUACAUACAGGGGAGAGAGAAUACACGUGUGGGGUGUGUGGUUAUUUAUGUAAACAGAGUGCUCCCUUGAAGAUACACAUGAGGAUCCAUACAGGAGAAAGACCGUUUAAGUGUGAGGUGUGUGGUUAUUUAUGUAAACAGAGUAGUCACCUGAAAACACACAUGAGGAUACAUACAGACGAGAGAAAGUAUACGUGUGAGGUGUGUGGUUAUGCAUGUAACAGGAGUGAAACCUUGAAGAGACACAUGAGGAUACAUACAGGAGAGAGAAAGUAUAAGUGUGAGGUGUGUGGUUAUGCAUGUAACAGGAUUGAAACCUUGAAGGCACACAUGAGGAUACAUACAGGCGAGAGACCGUACAAGUGUGGGGUGUGUGGUUAUGCAUGUAACUUGAGCGGUAACUUCAAGAGACACAUGAUGAUGCAUUCAGGCGAGAGACAUUAAAAGUGUUAGGUGUAUGGUUAUGCAGGUAUCCAGAGUGAUCGCAUGAAGAGACACAUGAAGACGCAUGCUUGGUUUUACGUUUAAACAUAGUGGUAAUUUGAAGAAACUUGCUUGUUAAUACCACAGUAACCAUAGUGGUGAUUUAAAGAAACAUGCUUGGUUAUACUUGUAACCAAAGUGGUGAUUUGAAGAAACAUGCUUGGUAAUACUUGUAACCAUAGUGGUGAUUUGAAGAAACAUGCUUGAUAAUGCUUGAAUCCAUAGUAACCAUAGUGGUGAUUUGAAGAAACAUGCUUGGUUAAACUUGUUAUGUUAAACCAUAGUUGUGAUUUGAAGAAACAUGCAUGUUUAUACUUGUAAUCAUAUUGGUGAUUUGAAGAACAUGCUUGGUUAUACUUGUUAUCAGAGUGGUUAUUUGAAGAAACAUGCUCGGAUAUACUUGUAACUAUAGUGGUGAUUUGAAGAAACAUACUUGGUUAUACUUGUAAUCAUAGUGGUGAUUUGAAGAAACGUGCUUGGUUAUACUUGUAACCAUAGUAGCCAUAGUAUUGAUUUGAAGAAACAUGAUUGGUUAUACUUGUAAUCAUAUUGGUGAUUUGAAGAAACAUGCUUGGUUAUACUUAUGACCAUAGUAACCAUAGUGGUGAUUGGAAGAAACAUGAUUGGUUAUACCUUUAAUCAUAGUGGUGAUUUGAAGAAACAUGCCUGGUUAUACUUGUAACCAUAAUAACCAAAGUGGUGAUUGGAAGAAUUAUGCUUGGUUAUACUUGUAACCAUUGUGGUGAUUUGAAGAAACAUGCUUGGUUAUACUUGUAACCAUUGUGGUGAGAUUAAGAAACAUGCUUGGUUAUACUUGUAACCUUUGUGUUGAUUUGAAGAUACAUUCUUGUUUUUUACUUGUAACCAUAGUGGUGAUUUAAAGAAACGCAUGAGGAUAGAUACGAGAGGAAGACUUUAAAACGUGUCAGGUGUGUGGUUAUUCACGUAUCCAUAGGAGGAAGACUUAAAAAAUUGUUAGGUGUAUGGUUAUUCAAGUAUCCAUGGGAGGAAGACUUUAAAAAAUGUUAGAUGUGUGGUUAUCCAUGUAUCCAUGGGGGGAAGACUUUACAGAGUGUUAGAUGUGUGGUUAUCCAUGUAUCCAUGGGGGGAAGACUUUACAGAGUGUUAGAUGUGUGGUUAUCCAUGUAUCCAUGGGUGGAAGACUUUACAGAGUGUUAGAUGUGUGGUUAUCUGUGUAACCAGAGUGGUCCCUUGAACACUUGAAGAGGCACAUGAGGAUAUAUACGAAUAUAAGAGAAGACAGUGCUAAAACAAGAAACUUAAAUCAUCUCUGAAACCAGUAGAGACCCAGUGACGCACGUUUUUUUGCAUGACCAUAUGCCGCAAUAAAUCAUUGCUUUGUAAGAGCUGCAUUCAAUCUUAAUUUUAAUUUACUUGUCCAUUUCUUUUUUAUUAUUUAAUACUAAUUGCAGUGUCUUAUGCGCAAACAUUUCGUAACCUCCUUUCCCAUCUUCAAUUAAAAAAACUCGUCUCAUAAUUCACGGCACACUUCACUUCAAAAAAAGGUGUACCUUUGUUUAUAUUUCGCAUGAGUUUUAUCAUGUGCAUUUAAAGAGAAUUUUUGUUAUCUUAAAUAAAGAACUUUUAUUUCUAUUGAGAGCAGAAGGAUUUAUAAGUACUUAAAUUUUGGUUAGUUUGAACUCGCUCCCGUGUUACGACAAGAAGAUAAUUGCUUUGUUCAUUUUUACCUUCCUCCAGGUUUGCCAUAUAUUUUUCACUUUUUGUUUUCAUUGUGUUCUACGUGUUUUACUCUCGAUCUUAGGAGUAUUCCAUCAAGAUGUUUAUGGUAAAUGUCUUCUUACACUUGCUUUGACUAAUGUCACUGUCAAUAAUGGUUUUAUCGAUGGUAUUUAUGUUAGGUAAUUGUCUAUCAAAUUAGCCAAGAUCAUGUUGUGUUUUUUCUUCGACUUCGCGUGUUUUUGUAUUUAUUUAAAUGAGGCUUUUCAUCUUGAUACAUUGCGUAAAUUUCCUUUUAUUAUCUCCAAUAAAGUAUUGGGUUUGCAA